AGAGUUUGAUCCUGGCUCAGGAUGAACGCUAGCGGCAGGCUUAAUACAUGCAAGUCGAACGGCAGCACGUGUAGUAAUACAUGGUGGCGAGUGGCGCACGGGUGCGUAACACGUAUGUAACCUACCUCUAACAGUGGCAUAACAAUGAGAAAUUAUUGCUAAUUCCGCAUGUGGUUAAUUUGAGGCAUCUUAGAUUAACUAAAGAUUUAUCGGUUAGAGCUGGGCAUGCGUCCCAUUAGCUAGUUGGUGAGGUAACGGCUCACCAAGGCAUCGAUGGGUAGGGGCUCUGAGAGGAUUGUCCCCCACACUGGUACUGAGACACGGACCAGACUCCUACGGGAGGCAGCAGUAAGGAAUAUUGGGCAAUGGACGCAAGUCUGACCCAGCCAUGCCGCGUGAAGGAAGACGGCCCUAUGGGUUGUAAACUUCUUUUCUCAGGGGGUAAACUCUGGAACGUGUUCCGGACUGAAAGUACCUGAGGAAUAAGCAUCGGCUAACUCCGUGCCAGCAGCCGCGGUAAUACGGAGGAUGCGAGCGUUAUCCGGAUUCAUUGGGUUUAAAGGGUGCGCAGGCGGAUAUAUAAGUCGGAGGUGAAAUUCUGAUGCUCAACAUCAGCCGUGCCUUCGAUACUGUAUAUCUAGAGUCAAGUUGGAGUAGGCGGAAUGUGUUGUGUAGCGGUGAAAUGCUUAGAUAUAACACAGAACACCGAUCGCGAAGGCAGCUUACUAAACUUUGACUGACGCUCAUGCACGAAAGCGUGGGGAUCAAACAGGAUUAGAUACCCUGGUAGUCCACGCUGUAAACGAUGAUUACUCGCUGUAGGCGAUACACAGCCAGUGGGUAAGCGAAAGUGGUAAGUAAUCCACCUGGGGGGUACGACAGCGCAACGUUGAAACUCAAAGGAAUUGACGG
rnacentral:rRNA from 1 species